GUGCACAUUUUCCAUUGCCUUUUUCUUUUUCAUUAUAAGAUUUAAGAUAUUUCUGAUGUGCUAGAUAAACACUGGAGGUAAAUUAGCAGGAUGGCUCUCUUGUGCCACCACUGCCAGUCCCCUUCAUACAAGU